rnacentral:rRNA from 1 species
UACGGGGGGAGCAAGCGUUGUUCGGAUUUACUGGGCGUAAAGGGCGCGUAGGCGGCCAGCACAAGUCAGUUGUGAAAUCUCCGAGCUUAACUCGGAAAGGUCAACUGAUACUGUGCGGCUAGAGUGCGGAAGGGGCAACUGGAAUUCUUGGUGUAGCGGUGAAAUGCGUAGAUAUCGGGAGGAACACCAGUGGCGAAGGCGACUACCUGGCCCAUUCUUGACGCUGAGGCGCGAAAGCUAGGGGAGCGAACGGG